rnacentral:rRNA from 1 species
AUUGAACGCUGGCGGCAGGCCUAACACAUGCAAGUCGAGCGGAGCGGCGGACGGGUGAGUAAUGCCUAGGCAUCUGCCUUGUAGUGGGGGAUAACGUCCGGAAACGGGCGCUAAUACCGCAUACUAUCAGAUGAGCCUAGGUCGGAUUAGCUAGUUGGUGGGGUAAAGUCCUACAAAGGCGACGAUCCGUACCUGGUCUGAGAGGAUGAUAAGUCAAACUGGAACGGGGAUACGGUCCAGACUACUACGGGAGCAAGCAGUGGGGAAUAUGUGACAAUGGGCGAAAGCCUGAUCCAGCCAUGCCGCGUGUGUUAAGAAGGUCUUCGGAUUGUAAAGCACUUUAAGUUGGGAGGCGUUACCAACAGAAUAAGCACCGGCUAACUUCGUGCCAGCAGCCGCGGUAAUUC